CGGUUAAAAAGCUCGUAGUUGGAUCUCGGCGGGCAGGGGGUGGUUCGCUCUUCAGCGCUACUGCCCCGCUUUGCCCGUGUGAUUGGCGGAGGUUUCGGGGUGCUCUUCGUUGAGUGACUCGGAGCGCCGUCAGGUUUACUUUGAAAAAAUUAGAGUGCUCAAAGCAGGCUUUUCACGCUUGAAUAUUCGUGCAUGGAAUAAUGGAAUAGGAACUCGUUUCUAUUUUGUUGGUUUUCGGAAAUCGAGUUAAUGAUUAACAGGGACAAUUGGGGGCAUUAGUAUUCAGACGACAGAGGUGAAAUUCUUGGACCGUCUGAAGACUGACUACUGCGAAAGCAUUUGCCAAGAGUGUUUUCAUUAAUCAAGAACGAAAGUUAGAGGUUCGAAGGCGAUCAGAUACCGCCCUAGUUCUAACCAUAAACGAUGCCAGCUAGCGAUCUGCCCGAGUUUUUUUUUGUA
rnacentral:rRNA from 1 species